CUGAAACAAAUUGAAAUUUCUAGAAUGGGAGAGUCAAUGCGUUGAAAAUUCACAUGAAAGGUGCAAAACAUCUCUCUCUUCUCAACUGCAGAGUUUCUUCUAACAGUGUGCCGUGUCUGAAAGAAUAUUGCUUGGCAGCAUUGUUUUACGCCAAGCAGAGUUUGGCUUUAGUGUAACCCUAAAGUUAUUUCGUUUUUGCCUUAUUAGAUGAUUUUUGCAGUUCUUGUGAGCAGAAAAUUCACCAUCGCAAAAACAAUUCUUUUCUGGAAUAAGAAAUGCAGAAUGUGCCAGUUGUAAGACAGAAUGGAGAUAACACUUUUUGUUCCCAAUUCUUUUGUUAUAAUGUAUGAAGAAGUAUGUUUGCAAUUUAUAAAUCAUAUUGCAUAAAUUAAUUUACAUUAAACAGCAUAGUCAUCUAAUAUUUUUACAUAAAUGGAACUGAAAUAUUGAAUGCAUUUUAUACACUUUUGAACUUAACUCGUAAUAUAUACAUAUAUUAAAAAGAAUAAAGGUUGAAGAUGGAGUGCUGCCAUUGUAUUUUUCAGAAAA